CAUCUCUUUAAUCUCUCAGUGUAAUGUGACUUCGUAUCAACACCUGUGAUAUAAAUAAACUGAGUGGGUCAGGUUGGGAAACCUGGUGAGUACAUAGGGUUUUCAACCCACAAUAUUAUAAUUAUUAUGUUUAAACAAUCAAACAAUCAACCCAAUUACCCAUCCCCAUUAUCUUCUUUACUCUUAAGGAUUUAACCUAAGAGUCAUCUAUCCUGCAUUCGUUUAUUCCGAAGUCCCUUACUUCCAGGGUUAUAGGACUGGCACUAAGUCCAUAGCUGCCAAUGUUCGUUCGUAAAGCACUAAUUCCAUAGCUGCUAUAGUCUAUUCAUCGGGUACUAAAUCCAUAGCUACCAGUGUUUAUCUAAUAGGUACUAAGUCCAUAGCUACCAAUUCCCAACAGGUACUAAAUCCAUAGCUACCGGUGUUUGUCCAAUAGGCACUAAGUCCAUAGUUGCCGAUGUUUAUUAGGCACUAAGUCCAUAGCUGCCAAUGUUUACUCACAUCAUCUUUUAUCNUGUCCAAUAGGCACUAAGUCUAUAGCUGCCGAUGUUUAUUAGGCACUAAGUCCAUAGCUGCCAAUGUUUACUCACAUCAUCUUUUAUCUCUCCUCGUUCAUCUACCCAUGUCAUACCCAACAUAUUCGUAUAUAUAAAAUAC
rnacentral:lncRNA from 1 species